GAUGAACGCUAGCGGCAGGCCUAACACAUGCAAGUCGAGGGGUAGAAGGAGCUUGCUCCUUUGAGACCGGCGCACGGGUGCGUAACGCGUAUGCAAUCUACCUUAUACAGGGGAAUAGCCCAGAGAAAUUUGGAUUAAUGCCCCAUAGCAUUACGACUUGGCAUCAAGAUGUAAUUAAAGUUCCAACGGUAUAAGAUGAGCAUGCGUCCCAUUAGUUAGUUGGUAAGGUAACGGCUUACCAAGACGAUGAUGGGUAGGGGUCCUGAGAGGGAGAUCCCCCCACACUGGUACUGAGACACGGACCAGACUCCUACGGGAGGCAGCAGUGAGGAAUAUUGGUCAAUGGUCGCAAGACUGAACCAGCCAUGCCGCGUGCAGGAAGACGGUCCUAUGGAUUGUAAACUGCUUUUAUACAGGAAGAAACCCUCCCACGUGUGGGAGCUUGACGGUACUGUAGGAAUAAGGAUCGGCUAACUCCGUGCCAGCAGCCG
rnacentral:rRNA from 1 species